rnacentral:rRNA from 1 species
UUUCCCCUACGGGGCGCAGCAGUGGGGAAUAUUGCACAAUGGGGGAAACCCUGAUGCAGCGACGCCGCGUGAGCGAUGAAGCGCCUCGGCGCGUAAAGCCCUGUCAGCAGGGAAGAAAAUGACGGUACCUGAAGAAGAAGCCCCGGCUAACUACGUGCCAGCAGCCGCGGUAAUACGUAGGGGGCAAGCGUUAUCCGGAUUUACUGGGUGUAAAGGGGGCGCAGACGGCGAUGCAAGCCAGGAGUGAAAGCCCGGGGCCCAACCCCGGGACUGCUCUUGGAACUGCGUGGCUGGAGUGCAGGAGG